AAUGAACGUUGGCGGCGUGGAUUAGGCAUGCAAGUCGAGCGAGAAGAUUCCCUUCGGGGAAUUGGAAAGCGGCAAACGGGGUAGUAAUACGUAGGUUACGUACCCCAAGGCCCGGGAUAGCCGUGGGAAACUGCGGGUAAUACCGGAUAAUCUCUCCGGAGCAAAGGUGUGAUUCCGCCUUGGGAGCGGCUUACGCGAUAUUAGCUUGUUGGUGAGGUAACGGCUCACCAAGGCCAUGAUGUCUAGGGGGGUGUGAGAGCAUGGCCCCCACCACUGGGACUGAGAUACUGCCCAGACACCUACGGGUGGCUGCAGUCGAGAAUCUUCGGCAAUGGACGCAAGUCUGACCGAGCGACGCCGCGUGCGGGAUGAAGGCCCUUGGGUUGUAAACCGCUGUCAGAGGGGAUGAAAUCAUAGAAGGCUAUCCUUUUAUGUUUGACAGAGCCUCAGAGGAAGCACGGGCUAAGUACGUGCCAGCGCCGCGGUAAU
rnacentral:rRNA from 1 species